GGUGAAAAGCACCCCGGAAGGGGAGUGAAAUAGAACCUGAAACCGUGUGCUUACAAGUAGUCAGAGCCCGUUAAUGGGUGAUGGCGUGCCUUUUGUAGAAUGAACCGGCGAGUUACGAUUUGAUGCAAGGUUAAGCAGUAAAUGUGGAGCCGUAGCGAAAGCGAGUCUGAAUAGGGCGUUUAGUAUUUGGUCGUAGACCCGAAACCAGGUGAUCUACCCUUGGUCAGGUUGAAGUUCAGGUAACACUGAAUGGAGGACCGAACCGACUUACGUUGAAAAGUGAGCGGAUGAACUGAGGGUAGCGGAGAAAUUCCAAUCGAACCUGGAGAUAGCUGGUUCUCUCCGAAAUAGCUUUAGGGCUAGCCUCAAGUGAUGAUUAUUGGAGGUAGAGCACUGUUUGGACGAGGGGCCCCUCUCGGGUUACCGAAUUCAGACAAACUCCGAAUGCCAAUUAAUUUAACUUGGGAGUCAGAACAUGGGUGAUAAGGUCCGUGUUCGAAAGGGAAACAGCCCAGACCACCAGCUAAGGUCCCAAAAUAUAUGUUAAGUGGAAAAGGAUGUGGCGUUGCCCAGACAACUAGGAUGUUGGCUUAGAAGCAGCCAUCAUUUAAAGAGUGCGUAAUAGCUCACUAGUCGAGUGACACUGCGCCGAAAAUGUACCGGGGCUAAACAUAUUACCGAAGCUGUGGAUUGUCCUUUGGACAAUGGUAGGAGAGCGUUCUAAGGGCGUUGAAGCAUGAUCGUAAGGACAUGUGGAGCGCUUAGAAGUGAGAAUGCCGGUGUGAGUAGCGAAAGACGGGUGAGAAUCCCGUCCACCGAUUGACUAAGGUUUCCAGAGGAAGGCUCGUCCGCUCUGGGUUAGUCGGGUCCUAAGCUGAGGCCGACAGGCGUAGGCGAUGGAUAACAGGUUGAUAUUCCUGUACCACCUAUAAUCGUUUUAAUCGAUGGGGGGACGCAGUAGGAUAGGCGAAGCGUGCGAUUGGAUUGCACGUCUAAGCAGUAAGGCUGAGUAUUAGGCAAAUCCGGUACUCAUUAAGGCUGAGCUGUGAUGGGGAGAAGACAUUGUGUCUUCGAGUCGUUGAUUUCACACUGCCGAGAAAAGCCUCUAGAUAGAAAAUAGGUGCCCGUACCGCAAACCGACACAGGUAGUCAAGAUGAGAAUUCUAAGGUGAGCGAGCGAACUCUCGUUAAGGAACUCGGCAAAAUGACCCCGUAACUUCGGGAGAAGGGGUGCUCUUUAGGGUUAACGCCCAGAAGAGCCGCAGUGAAUAGGCCCAAGCGACUGUUUAUCAAAAACACAGGUCUCUGCUAAACCGUAAGGUGAUGUAUAGGGGCUGACGCCUGCCCGGUGCUGGAAGGUUAAGAGGAGUGGUUAGCUUCUGCGAAGCUACGAAUCGAAGCCCCAGUAAACGGCGGCCGUAACUAUAACGGUCCUAA
rnacentral:rRNA from 1 species